rnacentral:rRNA from 1 species
ACCAGCGGAGGGAUCAUUACCGAGUUUACAACUCCCAAACCCCUGUGAACAUACCUUACUGUUGCCUCGGCGGAUCAGCCCGCUCCCGGUAAAACGGGACGGCCCGCCAGAGGACCCCUAAACUCUGUUUCUAUAUGUAACUUCUGAGUAAAACCAUAAAUAAAUCAAAACUUUCAACAACGGAUCUCUUGGUUCUGGCAUCGAUGAAGAACGCAGCAAAAUGCGAUAAGUAAUGUGAAUUGCAGAAUUCAGUGAAUCAUCGAAUCUUUGAACGCACAUUGCGCCCGCCAGUAUUCUGGCGGGCAUGCCUGUUCGAGCGUCAUUUCAACCCUCAAGCCCUCGGGUUUGGUGUUGGGGAUCGGCGAGCCUUUCUGGCAAGCCGGCCCCGAAAUCUAGUGGCGGUCUCGCUGCAGCCUCCAUUGCGUAGUAGUAAAACCCUCGCAACUGGAACGCGGCGCGGCCAAGCCGUUAAACCCCCAACUUCUGAAUGUUGACCUCGGAUCAGGUAGGAAUACCCGCUGAACUUAAGCAUAU